UUAAAAAGCUCGUAGUUGAAUUUCGGGAUCAGAUUGUCGGUCGUGCCUCGGUACGCACUGGCAUUAUUGGUUCCUACCUUCUGAAGAACCGCGAUGUCAUUAAUUUGGUGUCGUGGGGAGUCAGGACUGUUACUUUGAAAAAAUUAGAGUGUUUAAGGCAGGCGCACGCUUGAAUACAUUAGCAUGGAAUAAUGAAAUAGGACGUUUGAUUCUAUUUUGUUGGUUUCUAGGAUCGACGUAAUGAUUAAUAGGGAUAGUUGGGGG
rnacentral:rRNA from 1 species